rnacentral:rRNA from 1 species
CUACGGGCCGCUCCAGUGAGGAAUAUUGCACAAUGGGGGAAACCCUGAUGCAGCAACGCCGCGUGGAGGAUGACGCAUUUCGGUGUGUAAACUCCUUUUAUAUGUCAAGAAAAUGACGGUAGCAUAUGAAUAAGCACCGGCUAACUCCGUGCCAGCAGCCGCGGUAAUACGGAGGGUGCAAGCGUUACUCGGAAUCACUGGGCGUAAAGGACGCGUAGGCGGGUUGUCAAGUCAGGUGUGAAAUCCUACAGCUUAACUGUAGAACUGCACUUGAAACUGGCAGCCUAGAGUAUGGGAGGGGGAGAUGGAAUUAGUAGUGUAGGGGUAAAAUCCGUAGAUAUUACUAGGAAUAUCAAAAGCGAAGGCGAUCUCCUGGAACAUUACUGACGCUAAGGCGUGAAAGCGUGGGGAGCAAACAGGAUUAGAUACCCUUGUAGUC